rnacentral:rRNA from 1 species
UACGUAGGUGGCAAGCGUUGUCCGGAAUUAUUGGGCGUAAAGCGCGCGCAGGCGGUCUUUUAAGUCUGAUGUGAAAGCCCCCGGCUCAACCGGGGAGGGUCAUUGGAAACUGGGAGACUUGAGUGCAGAAGAGAAGAGUGGAAUUCCCGGUGUAGCGGUGAAAUGUGUAGAGAUCGGGAGGAACACCGGUGGCGAAGGCGGGUCUCUGGGCAAUUCCUGACGCUGAGGCGCGAAAGCGUGGGGAGCAAACGGG